AAACACUAAUACUGUGGAUUCAUUAUUAUUCGUUGGAUACCAAUUUUCGUGGAUUUCGUGGGCACAGUCAAACCACGAAAUUAAAUAUUCAACGAAUGAUAAUUUUUCUAUAGGUUUGUAUGCAGACUUCAGCAAAACCACGAAAUUAAAUAUCCACGAAUAUGCAAGUUUUUCUUAAUCCACGAAAAUUGGUAUCCACGAAAAUAAAUGAAUCCACAGUACUCAAGUUACAGUAA
rnacentral:lncRNA from 1 species